rnacentral:rRNA from 1 species
UACAGAGGUCCCAAGCGUUGUUCGGAUUCACUGGGCGUAAAGGGUGCGUAGGUGGCCGGAUAAGUCUGAUGUGAAAUCUCGAAGCUUAACUUCGAAACUGCAUUGGAUACUAUUCGGCUGGAGGGUUGGAGGGGGGACUGGAAUUCUCGGUGUAGCAGUGAAAUGCGUAGAUAUCGAGAGGAACACCAGUGGCGAAGGCGAGUCCCUGGACAACUCCUGACGCUGAGGCACGAAAGCUAGGGGAGCAAACAGG